UAGCAUCCACAGUACAUUAUAGUACUUUAAUGAGCUUAUGUUUUUUAAGAGGAUGUGGUUGUCAUAUUUUAAUAAACUCCAAUUCCUAUUUCUAUUUCUGUUUACACCAGCAUCACAACAAAAGGCCAUUUAAGAAAAAAACUUAUCUCAAAAGGACAACUCGAGUUUAGCCGCCCAAAUUCAUGAAUUUUAUAAUGCGUAAAUACAUACACAGCAAUUCCACCACGAUUUGUCACUGUUUAAAGCAAACUUGCUUCAAAAGCCCAUUUCAGAAAAAGGAAGUUCAAAAGACCAAUUUCUGUUUAACUAUCUAACUUCUUACAGUUAAAAAUGCAUAAAUACAUGCACAGUAUGUUGGGAACCGGAUGGAUCGUCCGUCAUGUGCUACCAACAAAGAUGCACGAAAAAUAGAGAAAAUCGACCGAACGAUAAAAGAAAUAAAUGCAGAAAGAAAAAACCAAGAUUUAUGUGGUUCGGCAAUUGCCUACGUCCACGGGGAGAGCGAGAGAGAUAUAUUCCACUAUAUGAAGAAAUAGAAGUACAAGCUUACACCUUAUGUCUUCUCCGGAUAAAAAAUCAAGAACCUUAUGGUGAAUCCCACCUUUCUUGUUCCAACGAAAACUCCAAGAAAAUACCGAAAAAGCUUUUCGUAAAACCGAAAAGACCAAAUUAGAGAAGUAUAGAAACUCUAACCAAAUUCCUUUAUGCCGUUGCUUCGAAGAAUCUGAACCGCUUAGGCAAUUGGUUGAGAACCGCCGCUCCGCCGCCAACGUC
rnacentral:lncRNA from 1 species